rnacentral:rRNA from 1 species
AUUGAACGCUGGCGGCAGGCCUAACACAUGCAAGUCGAAUGGUAACAGGAAACAGCUUGCUGUUUCGCUGACGAGUGGCGGACGGGUGAGUAAUGUCUGUGAAACUGCCUGAUGGAGGGGGAUAACUACUGGAAACGGUAGCUAAUACCGCAUAACGUCGCAAGACCAAAGAGGGGGACCUUCGGGCCUCUUGCCAUCAGAUGUGCCCAGAUGGGAUUAGCUAGUAGGUGGGGUAACGGCUCACCUAGGCGACGAUCCCUAGCUGGGCUGAGAGGAUGACCAGACACACUGGAACUGAGACACGGUCCAGACUCCUACGGGAGGCAGCAGUGGGGAAUAUUGCACAAUGGGCGCAAGCCUGAUGCAGCCAUGCCGCGUGUAUGAAGAAGGCCUUCGGGUUGUAAAGUACUUUCAGCGGGGAGGAAGGGAGUAAAGUUAAUACCUUUGCUCAUUGACGUUACCCGCAGAAGAAGCACCGGCUAACUCCGUG